UACGUAGGGAGCAAGCGUUGUCCGGAUUUACUGGGCGUAAAGGGCGCGUAGGCGGUCUACCAAGCGUGAAGUGAAAUCUCCAGGGCUCAACCCGGAAACUGCUUCGCGAACUGGCAGACUAGAGGAAGGUAGAGGUGAAUGGAAUUCCUGGUGUAGCGGUGACAUGCAUUGAUAUCAGGAGGAACACCCGGUGGCCGAAGGCGGUUCACUGGGGCCUUUCCUGACGCUGAGGCGCGAAAGCGUGGGUAGCAAACAGG
rnacentral:rRNA from 1 species